rnacentral:rRNA from 1 species
GUAGGUGGCAAGCGUUGUCCGGAAUUAUUGGGCGUAAAGCGCGCGCAGGUGGUUCUUUAAGUCUGAUGUGAAAGCCCCCGGCUCAACCGGGGAGGGUCAUUGGAAACUGGGGAACUUGAGUGCAGGAGAGGAAAGUGGAAUUCCACGUGUAGCGGUGAAAUGCGUAGAUAUGUGGAGGAACACCAGUGGCGAAGGCGACUUUCUGGCCUGUAACUGACACUGAGGCGCGAAAGCGUGGGGAGCAAACAGGGAUUAGAUACCCUGGUAGUCCACGCCGUAAACGAUGAGUGCUAAGUGUUGGGGGGUUUCCCGCCCCUCAGUGCUGCAGCUAACGCAUUAAGCACUCCGCCUGGGGAGUACGGUCGCAAGACUG